AACGAACGCUGGCGGCAGGCAUAACACAUGCAAGUCGAACGAGAUCUUCGGAUCUAGUGGCAGACGGGUGAGGAACACGUGGGAACAUCCCUUUCAGUUCGGAAUAACGUUGGGAAACUAACGCUAAUACCGGAUACGUCCUUCGGGAGAAAGAUUUAUCGCUGAAAGAUUGGCCCGCGUCUGAUUAGCUAGUUGGUGAGGUAACGGCUCACCAAGGCUACGAUCAGUAGCUGAUCUGAGAGGAUGAUCAGCCACAUUGGGACUGAGACACGGCCCAAACUCCUGCGGGAGGCAGCAGUGGGGAAUAUUGGACAAUGGGCGCAAGCCUGAUCCAGCCAUGCCGCGUGAGUGAUGACGGCCUUCGGGUUGUAAAGCUCUUUUGUCCGGGAAGAUAAUGACUGUACCGGAAGAAUAAGCCCCGGCAAACUUCGUGCCAGCCGCCGCCGUAA
rnacentral:rRNA from 1 species